rnacentral:rRNA from 1 species
UACGUAGGGUGCGAGCGUUGUCCGGAAUUAUUGGGCGUAAAGGGCUCGUAGGCGGUUUGUCGCGUCGGGAGUGAAAACACCGGGCUUAACUCGGUGCUUGCUUUCGAUACGGGCAGACUAGAGGUAUGUAGGGGAGAACGGAAUUCCUGGUGUAGCGGUGAAAUGCGCAGAUAUCAGGAGGAACACCGGUGGCGAAGGCGGUUCUCUGGGCAUUACCUGACGCUGAGGAGCGAAAGUGUGGGGAGCGAACAGG